rnacentral:rRNA from 1 species
UACCAGCACCCCGAGUGGUCGGGACGUUUAUUGGGCCUAAAGCAUCCGUAGCCGGUUCUGCAAGUCUUCCGUUAAAUCCACCUGCUUAACAGAUGGGCCGCGGAAGAUACUAUAGAGCUAGGAGGCGGGAGAGGCAAGCGGUACUCGAUGGGUAGGGGUAAAAUCCGUUGAUCCAUUGAAGACCACCAGUGGCGAAGGCGGCUUGCCAGAACGCGCUCGACGGUGAGGGAUGAGAGCUGGGGGAGCAAACCGG